AGAUUGAACGCUGGCGGCAGGCCUAACACAUGCAAGUCGAGCGGUAGAGAGGUGCUUGCACCUCUUGAGAGCGGCGGACGGGUGAGUAAUGCCUAGGAAUCUGCCUAGUGGUGGGGGAUAACGUUCGGAAACGGACGCUAAUACCGCAUACGUCCUACGGGAGAAAGCGGGGGAUCUUCGGGCCUCGCGCCAUUAGAUGAGCCUAGGUCGGAUUAGCUAGUUGGUGAGGUAAUGGCUCACCAAGGCGACGAUCCGUAACUGGUCUGAGAGGAUGAUCAGUCACACUGGAACUGAGACACGGUCCAGACUCCUACGGGAGGCAGCAGUGGGGAAUAGUUGGAC
rnacentral:rRNA from 1 species